UGGCGAAGGCGGCUUUUUGGCCUGUAACUGACGCUGAGGCGCGAAAGCGUGGGGAGCAAACAGGAUUAGAUACCCUGGUAGUCCACGCCGUAAACGAUGAGUGCUAGGUGUUGGGGGGUUCCACCCUCAGUGCUGAAGUUAACACAUUAAGCACUCCGCCUGGGGAGUACGACCGCAAGGUUGAAACUCAAAGGAAUUGACGGGGGCCCGCACAAGCAGUGGAGCAUGUGGUUUAAUUCGAAGCAACGCGAAGAACCUUACCAGGUCUUGACAUCCUUUGACCACUCUAGAGAUAGAGCUUUCCCCUUCGGGGGACAAAGUGACAGGUGGUGCAUGGUUGUCGUCAGCUCGUGUCGUGAGAUGUUGGGUUAAGUCCCGCAACGAGCGCAACCCUUGACCUUAGUUGCCAGCAUUCAGUUGGGCACUCUAAGGUGACUGCCGGUGACAAACCGGAGGAAGGUGGGGAUGACGUCAAAUCAUCAUGCCCCUUAUGACCUGGGCUACACACGUGCUACAAUGGAUGAUACAAAGGGUUGCGAAGCCGCGAGGCCAAGCCAAUCCCAAAAAGUCAUUCUCAGUUCGGAUUGUAGCUGCAACUCGCCUACAUGAAGCCGGAAUUGCUAGUAAUCGCGGAUCAACAUGCCGCGGUGAAUACGUUCCCGGGCCUUGACCACACCGGCCGUCACACCACGAGAAGUUUGUAACACCCAAAUCAGUGGGGUAACCCUCUUUGGGGAGCCACCGACCAAGGUGGGACAGAUAAUUGUGGGGAGU
rnacentral:rRNA from 1 species